rnacentral:rRNA from 1 species
GAUGGGUUGCUGCUGGCUCUCUCGGGAGCAUGUGCACACUUGUCAUCUUUAUAUCUCCACCUGUGCACCUUUUGUAGAUCUGGAUAUCUUUCUGAAUGCCUGGCAUUCAGGUUUGAGAAUUGACUUUUUGUCUUUCCUUACAUUUCCAGGCCUAUGUUUUCUUCAUAUACACCAUUAUGUUAUAGAAUGUAAUGAAAGGCCUUUGUGCCUACAAACUUUAUACAACUUUCAGCAACGGAUCUCUUGGCUCUCGCAUCGAUGAAGAACGCAGCGAAAUGCGAUAAGUAAUGUGAAUUGCAGAAUUCAGUGAAUCAUCGAAUCUUUGAACGCACCUUGCGCUCCUUGGUAUUCCGAGGAGCAUGCCUGUUUGAGUGUCAUUAAUAUAUCAACCUCCUCAGGUUUUUACUUGUCGAGUGUUUGGAUGUGGGGGUUUCUUUUGCUGGUCUCUUUGAGGUCGGCUCCCCUAAAAUGCAUUAGCGGAACAAUUUGUUGACCCGUUCAUUGGUGUGAUAAUAUCUACGCUUUUGACGUGAAACAGGUUCAGCUUCUAACAGUCCAUUGACUUGGACAAUUUUUCAUUAAUGUGACCUCAAAUCAGGUAGGACUACCCGCUGAACUUAAGCAUAUCAAUAAGCGGAGGAAAAGAAACUAACAAGGAUUCCCCUAGUAACUGCGAGUGAAGCGGGAAAAGCUCAAAUUUAAAAUCUGGCAGUCUUUGGCUGUCCGAGUUGUAAUCUAGAGAAGUGUUAUCCGCGCUGGACCGUGUACAAGUCUCCUGGAAUGGAGCGUCAUAGAGGGUGAGAAUCCCGUCUUUGACACGGACU